rnacentral:misc_RNA from 1 species
UUUUACAUUCGUGACAUGCAGUUGUGUGUGGAGACGAGAGGAGAAGGGGGCACAGGUCCCCCCCGCCAACCGAAAGGUGCACAGGUGUGGAUGGCGUAGCCGGCGUGCAAGCCCGAGGGCGCACAGCCAGCGAGGCCGUGAGGACGGGAACAAGCCCGAUUCACUAAUGAUCCUUCCGCAGGUUCACCUACGGAAACCUUGUUACGACUUUUACUUCCUCUAAAUGACCAAGA